ensembl:lncRNA
AUGGGUUAAUGCCCUUGAGAGAUGUCUAUUAUCAGGAAUAAAUGGGCUGUGCGGAGGUCACGACAGGAGAAAGUCAACUCGUUCUUGGUGAUUGCAGUGAGCAAUCUAGAAGCACUUAAGGAUCUUCUCCUCUGCUUUCCACACAAACGACUGUUUCAGCUCCCGGCUGGCAGGUGUUGCAAGUGGAUAAAGGAGGGAAAACCUCAAAGUGGCACUUCAGGUGGAGGUUAAGUCUCGCAUCAAACAGAGCGAGAUGUGACAUGAUGGAUGAGUGAAGGGACAUGAGGUUACAGAGCAUCAGGUCCUGUGUACAAGUAGUCCUGACUGUCCUCAUUAAGGGCUCCAUCCUUAUAGCCUCAAUCCCUUUCUUGAACCUUGUCCCUAAAAUAAAAAUACAACA